GUCUGGUGCCAGCAGCCGCGGUAAUUCCAGCUCCAAUAGCGUAUAUUAAACUUGUUGCAGUUAAAAAGCUCGUAGUUGAAUUUUAGCGUGGUGUUAACAUUGACUGAUGUCGAGAUUGCACUUCGCUUUUGGGAUUUUUCCCUUUUUACUUUGAGAAAAUUAGAGUGUUUCAAGCAGACUUUUGUCUUGAAUACUUCAGCAUGGAAUAAUAGAGUAGGACUUUGGUUCUAUUUUGUUGGUUUGUGAACCUUAGUAAUGGUUAAUAGGAACGGUUGGGGGCAUUCGUAUUUAACUGUCAGAGGUGAAAUUCUUAGAUUUGUUAAAGACGAACUACUGCGAAAGCAUUUGCCAAGGACGUUUUCAUUAAUCAAGAACGAAAGUUAGGGGAUCGAAGACGAUCAGAUACCGUCGUAGUCCUAACCAUAAACUAA
rnacentral:rRNA from 1 species